rnacentral:rRNA from 1 species
UACGUAGGGUGCGAGCGUUAAUCGGAAUUACUGGGCGUAAAGCGUGCGCAGGCGGUUUUGUAAGCCAGAUGUGAAAUCCCCGGGCUCAACCUGGGAACUGCAUUUGUGACUGCAUCGCUGGAGUGCGGCAGAGGGGGAUGGAAUUCCGCGUGUAGCAGUGAAAUGCGUAGAUAUCGGGAGGAACACCAGUGGCGAAGGCGACUACCUGGCCUGUUCUUGACGCUGAGGCGCGAAAGCUAGGGGAGCAAACGGG